GCGCCCCCCGCCUUGGAGACGCCGCUGCGCGCGGCCCCGCCCCCCCGGGACAAGCGGCGGGGCCACAGGGGCGGGGCGGGGCCGGGGUCCAGCGGGCCGAGGGGGUGGGGCGGGGUCCCGCGGGGUCCCGCACUUCGCAGUUCGCAGGCAGGGGGCGGGGACCAGGGACGCGCGGGCGCCCGCGGGGGUUCAGCCCGCAGGUGGAGGUCUCUCAGGUAGCGGGCUAGCGAUCUGGAAGAUCCGGGGCUGGCGUCUCCGGGGGUGGAAGAGGAUGUGGCUGGGGUCCCGCGACACAGGGGUUCCGCUGGGGCCGAGGUCACGCAGGCAAGAUGCAGGGAGAGGCGAGGAACCCGCAGGUUAUGAAAAGAUGAUGCUGAGUGACCAAGCGAACCGAGGAGCACCCUUCAGCCGCGUCUCCUGCCGCUCAGCCCGGCUCCCUGGCACUCCUGGCUCCUGACGGGCUUCUUCCCAAGGCCCCGCAAACCCGGGAGUUUUCCAGCCCCGGGGAUCCUGCAGCGCCUUGGUUAGAUCUCCGUGAAAUCAGCUAAUCUUUGAGUGCCCACUAAAUUCCAGACCCUGAUAUAAAACAGAGAAUACUGCGGUCAACAAGACAAAGCCCUUGCUUUCAUGGAAUAGGCGAAAGACUGAGUACAAGGGAUGCAAAAAUAUCGAAUGGAGGACUCAGAGGCCCCAGAAAAUGGCAAUGGUGGCUCACUGCAUGGAGUAGAACCUCUGUGCUCACUUGCAGUGGAUUGUGGUGUAAGCAAGAAAUAAAAUGUCACAAUAUCAAGUCACUGAAAUGUGAAAGUUGUCUGUUACAGCCAUUAGCAUACCCUGUCUGAUACAGUACUUGUCUAACUUCAUUUGAUUCCAUGUCACUCCAGGGCAGGGACUGUGUUUGUAACUCAAGCACAAUUGCAAUGCGUGGCACAUAGUAGGCAUUUCUUGAAGUAUGGAUAAGAGUGAAUGAGCUGAUACCUAAGCCUGGUCUUAAAGAUCAGAGUAGAAUUCCAGGC